rnacentral:rRNA from 1 species
GAGUUUGAUCUUGGCUCAGAGCGAACGCUGGCGGCAUGCUUAACACAUGCAAGUCGCACGGUCAGCAAUGGCAGUGGCGGACGGGUGAGUAACACGUAGGAAUCUAUCUCUGGGUGGGGGACAACAGUGGGAAACUACUGCUAAUACCGCAUGAUACCUGAGGGUCAAAGGCGUAAGUCGCCUGGAGAGGAGCCUGCGUCUGAUUAGCUUGUUGGUGGGGUAAAGGCCUACCAAGGCUACGAUCAGUAGCUGGUCUGAGAGGAUGAUCAGCCACAUUGGGACUGAGACACGGCCCAAACUCCUACGGGAGGCAGCAGUGGGGAAUAUUGGACAAUGGGCGAAAGCCUGAUCCAGCAAUGCCGCGUGUGUGAAAAAGGUCUUCGGAUUGUAAAGCACUUUUGGCAGGGACGAUGAUGACGGUACCUGCAGAAUAAGCCCCGGCUAACUUCGUGCCAGCAGCCGCAGU